rnacentral:rRNA from 1 species
CGAAGCCCCAGUGAACGGCGGCCGUAACUAUAACGGUCCUAAGGUAGCGAAAUUCCUUGUCAGGUAAGUUCUGACCCGCAUGAAAGGCGUAAUGAUUUGGGCACUGUCUCGACAGCCCGCCCGGCGAAAUUGUAGUACCGGUGAAGAUGCCGGUUACCCGCGACAAGACGGAAAGACCCCAUGGAGCUUUACUGUAGCCUAAUAUUGGGUUUCGAUGUUGCAUGCACAGGAUAGAUGGGACACAGGGAAACAAGUGCUUUGGCAUUUGUGGAGUGGCCGUUGGGAUACCAUCCUUGCGAUAUUGGAAUUCUAACCUGCGCCUUUGAAUCAAGGCGGGGGACAUUGUUAGGUGGGCAGUUUGACUGGGGCGGUCGCCUCCUAAAGAGUAACGGAGGCGUUCAAAGGUUCGCUCAGCUUGAACGGAAAUCAAGCAAAAGAGUGCAAACGCAGAAGCGAGCCUAACUGCGAGACUGACGGGUCGAGCAGUAACGAAAGUUGGAGUUAGUGAUCCGGUGGUAUGUGAGUGGAAAUGCCAUCGCUCAACGGAUAAAAGUUACCCUGGGGAUAACAGGCUGAUCUCCCCCAAGAGUCCACAUCGACGGGGAGGUUUGGCACCUCGAUGUCGGCUCAUCGCAUCCUGGGGCUGUAUUCGGUCCCAAGGGUUUGGCUGUUCGCCAAUUAAAGCGGCACGCGAGCUGGGUUCAGAACGUCGUGAGACAGUUCGGUCCCUAUCUGUUGCGGGCGUAAGAGAUUUGAAGGGAGCUGUCCUUAGUACGAGAGGACCGGGAUGGACGUACCUCUGGUGCACCAGUUGUCCUGCCAAGGGCAUAGCUGGGUAGCUAUGUACGGACGAGAUAAACGCUGAAAGCAUCUAAGCGUGAAACUCCCCCUAAGAUGAGAUCUCUCAUCCUUCAAGGAGUAAGGACCCAGAAAGACGAUCUGGUUGAUAGGCCGAAGGUGGAAGCGCAGUAAUGUGUGCAGCUGAUCGGUACUAAUAGUCCGAGGGCUUGACCUA